ACUAGUCUUUUUGUUUGUUUGUUGUUUUUGCCUGAGCCUGAAAUCUGAUAUGCAGCUGGAUCCAAGUUAUUAUCUGGGGAGAUGAUGUCAUGGCUGGGAUAAGGAUCAAAAAGCUGGAUCAGGGAAGAGAUUAGCUCCCUAAUAUGGGAAAGGGGUAUAAAUAUUGUUGACUGUCAACUCCAUCAAUUUGAUGUGAUCUGGGGCCCAUAAUUAGCUUAGGAGCCUGUGUGACCUCUGCAUCCCUCUAGAUCAGAGCUCACAUUCUGUGGUCAUGAGUAGGAACAUUCCAUGCUGCCCCAGUAUCAACCCAUCUUCCUCAGGUGUAGCAUAGAGUAUGUUGUCCAUCCUCCCUUUGGAGGAUGGAACAUUCUCUACGAUUGUUGAUCCCAGUUGAGGGUAAGGUCCUAUGGGAACCCACAAAGGGGUCUAUUUUGUUGUUCCUGAUAUUUUUAUUCUUUUUAUUUCACACAUAGAGAGGAAGAGAUACCACAGCACUUCCAUCUGUGGAGCUUUCUCUGGUGCUGUGGUGCUCCCAUGUGGUGCCAGGGUUCAAACUUGGAGCGUCAUUCAAGGCAAGGGCCAUCCUACUAUCAGAAAGGAGAUGCGGAGAAGAGGCACGUGGGUCAGCAGCAACCCAGCCAGCCACCUGCCGCCUGUUACCCACAGGCCCUCAGAGGAGGAGGGAAGUCUCUCCUUGGCCCAGAGCAGCCCGGAGUCCUGGCAUUCAACCGCCAGGGCUCCUAAUUAGCAUGAAGUAAGAUCAUUUUAGUGCCACAGAACACUGACUUUAGGCUAUGCAGCGUUUUCAGAGUGGCUGCCCUGGGGACUCCCAGGAGAAGCCCGGGAUUUGAAUACUUGAAGACUGCAAAGGAGAAGGUUCUGCCCAGGAGGACCCAGCCAGCACUUGCCUGGAGAGGCACUCUGGACUUAAUUUCCCACCAAUCCUGGGUCUCAGAAACAGACAAUCAAGCAAUAAACAAACGGAUAUAAUAAGACCAUCAGGUCCAGUUGACAAAGAAACUGAAGUUCAGAGAAAGCAAGACACCUGACUGCUGGAUGACAUAGCUGGGAUACCCUCUGCACCAAGAACGCUUGACGGAACUUGAGGAAAGACUCAGAGAUCCAGCUCCAGUGGGUCUGCUGCUGGCUCAGAUGGGAAAGGAGGUGGAGAUGGAGAUGGGGUGCCCACCUGAACAAGUGGACCAGAGCUCUGGAGAUGCGAGGGUCCAGGACACAUUGGUGAGAUUGUCUGCCUAGAGAAGUCGGGAUGGAGUCAUGGUCACAUCUGAGGAACACUGCUGACUGUACUCAUUUCAGGACCAGUCUUUUUCAAGUGGCAGGGAAGGAUACUCCCAGCCUCCCUUUAGAGACUGGGGCUAUCCCUACCUGUACUCUGUCUUCCCGUGGAAGAAAACCAAAACAAAAUAUCUUCCACCAGAGGCCAAAUUGUUGGCUUCCCCCAACAAUUACUCAUGGACUAUUAAAGCAUCUUAUGUCUAUUGUAAGUGAGAGAAAUAUUUUAAUUUGACAUGGGCAGUGGCUACAUAGUAUAGACUAGUGGCUUUUUUUUUUUUUUUUUUUUAGCAUAAUGGUUACGCAACAGACUCUCAUGCCUGAGGCUCCAAAGUCCCAGGUUCAAUCUCCUGCGCCACCAUAAACCAGAGCUGAACAGUGCUCUGGGAAAUAAAUAAAUAAAUAAAAAAUUAAAAAGUAUUUUUAAAAUCUUUAUUUAUUGGAUAGAGACAGCCAGAGAUGGAGAGGAAGGAGGAUAUAGAGAGGGAAAGAGACAGAGACACUUGCAACACUGCUUCACCACUUCCCCCCGUAGGUGCGGAUAGAGGCUCAAACCCAUGUCCUUGUGCAUUGUAACGCACAUUCAGCCAGUUGCACCAUCACCCGGCCCUGACACAUGAAGACUUUUACCAAGCUGUUUGUUUAUUUUAUUUUAUUUUUCAAUUUUUUAAAUUUCUUUAUUGGGGGAUUCAUGUUUUAGUUGACGGUAAAUACAAGAGCUUAUACAGUUUGUGUAUUUUUUAUUUUAUUUAUUUAUGAGAAGGGUAGGAAGAGAGAGAGAGAAAGAACCAGACAUCACUCUGGUACAUGUGCUGCCGUGGAUCACAUUUAAGACCUCAUGCUGGAGAGUUCAACACUUUAUCCACUGUACCACCUUUCAGACCACCCAAGCUGUGGGUUUAAAUCUGUGCAUUUGCUGUAUUGGGUCAGAUCAAUCUUUGUUUAGGGGGAGACUUAUCUAUCUGCCCUGGC